rnacentral:rRNA from 1 species
GACGAACGCUGGCGGCGUGCUUAACACAUGCAAGUCGAACGGAAAGGCCAUGCUCUUGUGGGGUGCUCGAGAGGCGAACGGGUGAGUAACACGUGAGUAACCUGCCCUUGACUUUGGGAUAACUUCAGGAAACUGGGGCUAAUACCGGAUAGGAGCUCCUGCUGCAUGGUGGGGGUUGGAAAGUUUCGGCGGUGGGGGAUGGACUCGCGGCUUAUCAGCUUGUUGGUGGGGUAGUUGCUUACCAAGGCUUUGACGGGUAGCCGGCCUGAGAGGGUGACCGGCCACAUUGGGACUGAGGUACGGCCCAGACUCCUACGGGAGGCAGCAGUGGGGAAUAUUGCACAAUGGGCGGAAGCCUGAUGCGGCAACGCCGCGUGCGGGAUGACGGCCUUCGGGUUGUAAACCGCUUUCGCCUGUGACGAAGCGUGAGUGACGGUAAUGGGUAAAGAAGCACCGGCUAACUACGUG